rnacentral:rRNA from 1 species
UUCUGGCUCAGAACGAACGCUGGCGGCGCGUUUAAGCAUGCAAGUCGAGCGGCAAGGGCCUUCGGGCCCCUAGAGCGGCGGACGGGUGAGUAACACGUGGACAAUCUGCCCCCCGGCCCGGGAUAGCCCAGGGAAACCUGGAUUAAUACCGGAUGAGACGGGACCCGCGAUGGCGGGAUCCGGGAAAGGCGCUGCGGCGCCGCCGGGGGAUGAGUCUGCGUCCCAUUAGCUAGACGGCGGGGUAACGGCCCACCGUGGCGACGAUGGGUAGCCGGCCUGAGAGGGUGGACGGCCACAUUGGAACUGGGACACGGUCCAGACUCCUACGGGAGGCAGCAGCUAAGAAUCUUCCGCAAUGGGCGAAAGCCUGACGGAGCCGACGCCGCGUGAACGAAGAAGGCCGUGAGGUUGUAAAGUUCUUUUCGGGAGGGGGAACAACCGUGGCAGGGAAUGGCCGCGGGAUGACGUGAAUCCCGGAAUAAGCCCCGGCUAACUACGUGCCAGCCGCUGC